rnacentral:rRNA from 1 species
UGCGCAGGCGGGCUUGUAAGUCAGUGGUGAAAUACUGCCGCUCAACGGUAGAACUGCCAUUGAUACUGCAAGUCUUGAAUAUGGUUGAGGUAGGCGGAAUGUGUCGUGUAGCGGUGAAAUGCAUAGAUAUGACACAGAACGCUGAUUGCGAAGGCAGCUUACUAAGCCAUUAUUGACGCUGAGGCACGAAAGCGUGGGGAGCGAACAGGAUUAGAUACCCUGGUAGUC